rnacentral:rRNA from 1 species
AGACCCGAAACCCGGUGAUCUAGCCAUGGGCAGGUUGAAGGUUGGGUAACACUAACUGGAGGACCGAACCGACUAAUGUUGAAAAAUUAGCGGAUGACUUGUGGCUGGGGGUGAAAGGCCAAUCAAACCGGGAGAUAGCUGGUUCUCCCCGAAAGCUAUUUAGGUAGCGCCUCGUGAAUUCAUCUCCGGGGGUAGAGCACUGUUUCGGCAAGGGGGUCAUCCCGACUUACCAACCCGAUGCAAACUGCGAAUACCGGAGAAUGUUAUCACGGGAGACACACGGCGGGUGCUAACGUCCGUCGUGAAGAGGGAAACAACCCAGACCGCCAGCUAAGGUCCCAAAGUCAUGGUUAAGUGGGAAACGAUGUGGGAAGGCCCAGACAGCCAGGAUGUUGGCUUAGAAGCAGCCAUCAUUUAAAGAAAGCGUAAUAGCUCACUGGUCGAGUCGGCCUGCGCGGAAGAUGUAACGGGGCUAAACCAUGCACCGAAGCUGCGGCAGCGACACUGUGUGUUGUUGGGUAGGGGAGCGUUCU